rnacentral:rRNA from 1 species
CAAGUCGAAACGGGAAAACGGGGGCAACUCCGUGAGUAUAGUGGCGUACGGGUGAGUAACACGUGACUACCUACCUUUGAGUGGGGGAUAACCCCGGGAAACCGGGGCUAAUACCGCAUAACAUCGCAAGAUCAAAGAAGCAAUUCGCUUAAAGAGGGGGUCGCGGCUGAUUAGCUAGUUGGUAGGGUAAUGGCCUACCAAGGCGAUGAUCGGUAGCCGGCCUGAGAGGGCGCACGGCCACACUGGAACUGAAACACGGUCCAGACUCCUACGGGAGGCAGCAGUGGGGAAUUUUGCGCAAUGGGGGAAACCCUGACGCAGCAACGCCGCGUGGAGGAUGAAGUCCCUUGGGACGUAAACUCCUUUCGACCGGGACGAUUAUGACGGUACCGGUGGAAGAAGCCCCGGCUAACUUCGUGCCAGCAGCCGCGGUAAUACGAGGGGGGCAAGCGUUGUUCGGAAUUAUUGGGCGUAAAGGGCGCGUAGGCGGUGCGGUAAGUCACCUGUGAAAACUCUGGGCUCAACUCANAGCCUGCAGGCGAAACUGCCGUGCUUGAGUGUGGGAGAGGUGCGUGGAAUUCCCGGUGUAGCGGAGAAAUGCGUAGAUAUCGGGAGGAACACCUGUGGCGAAAGCGGCGCACUGGACCACAACUGACGCUGAGGCGCGAAAGCUAGGGGAGCAACAGGAUUAGAUACCCUGGUAGUCCUAGCCCUAA